rnacentral:rRNA from 1 species
CAAUAGCGUAUAUUUAAGUUGUUGCAGUUAAAAAGCUCGUAGUUGGAUUUCGGAGGGGAUUUGCCGGUCCGUCGUUACGAUGUGCACUGGCCAGUCCUAUCUUGUUGUCGGGGACUAGCUCCUUGGAUUCACUUCCUGGGACUAGGAGCUGACGAGGUUACUUUGAGUAAAUUAGAGUGUUCAAAGCAAGCCUACGCUCUGAAUACAUUAGCAUGGAAUAACACGAUAGGACUCUGGCUUAUCUUGUUGGUCUGUGAGACCAGAGUAAUGAUUAAGAGGGACAGUCGGGGACAUUCGUAUUUCAUUGUCAGAGGUGAAAUUCUUGGAUUUAUGAAAGACGAACUUCUGCGAAAGCAUUUGUCAAGGAUGUUUUCAUUAA